rnacentral:lncRNA from 1 species
CUGUCUCCAAGCAUAACUGUGAGAAUUAUCUGGGGAUGGUGUGAAGUGCCUGGCAUGUCGCAGCCUUGAAACAAAUGCCAGUUCUCCCUCCCCCACCCACCACAGGCUGCCAGCAUUCCAGCUGGGGCAGUGUGUCCCAGUACCUUGUCCUUGCCCUCCUCAGGCAGCGCUCACCUGCAGGCAGCCCUGUGGGCUGUCACUCAUCAUCUGCCCUGUGCCCAAGCAUUGUCUCCCUUGCUUUUGCUGACAGUGAUGUCCUGGCUUUGGUCCCAGCCUGUCCUCCUUGGCAGAACACCUGGCAUUUCACUCCACCCUCGCCCCCAACCGGUAAUACCUGUCAGCCCAGCCUUGCCAACAUCCCUAGAUGUGACCUACACCUGCCUAGACCCACAGACUGUUCCCUAGACCCUUUUGGCUGUCCAGGCCAGACCUGUCCCUAGUCCACAUGUCAGUUCCGUGCCCUGUAACACAGCUAGCUACUGGGAGGUUCUGGACCCUGGAAGGUCUCAGGGUUCCCCUGCAGCUUGGGUUGGGUGCAGGGGUAGAUUCAGGGUGGCAGGCUCAGCUCAACCUCACAGAGAGAGUUAUGGCUGAGAGUUAUUUCCUGAGAGUCAGGAAACUUGGCUGAACCCUGGCUAAUGGGCUGUGUGGCUGUGGGCAAUACACUGGCCCUCUCUGGGCCUCAGAUUUUUAACCAAUAAUUGGAGAGAAUCCAUCCCUAAGGCCUGUUCUGGCUCUAAUGGUCUCGGAUUCUAGGAGGAAAGGGCCAGAAGUCUGCAGCAAAGGUCUGUAACCCCCUUCCUCUGUGCCCUGAAAGGGGCAGCAGGAAAGCCUCAUAUCCCAGCGCAGCCCCGCCUCCGCUGUCUUGGCGAGGCACGCACUCACUCCUUGGGAUUUACAAUGGGCUGAAUUCAUUUGCAUAACAAAAUUGGCUCGGGUAUCCAAGUGUUGCAGGAAGACAAGUGUAACAUUACGCAGAACAAGCAGCUGGGAGGAAGGUUACCACCAACAAUGAGGGAACAAGAUGCCCGCCCACCUGCUGCCUCUGCCAACCUUUCAUCCACAGGCAUGGGGGGCUGCCCGGGGGCAGUGUCAGGGGUGGGGGAGAAGAGAUCUGCAGGCAUGGGAGAUGGCUGCCUGCCCAGGGAUCUGGGCUGGGUGGAUGGGUCGGAUGGGAGGGGAACUCCUGCUCCUAGGGUCUUCUCACUGUUAGGGUGAAGAGGUUUCCUUUGCUAUUUCUAAAUGCCUGCACCAUUUAAAUGGUCCCAAAAUUAUCUCCCCACUCUCAGGACUUGAUAACACAAGAACUUAACCACUAACCAUGCACCGGUCCACUCAUCCACUCUCAUCCAUUCACUCGCUCAUCCACACAUCUGCCAUCUAUCCACCUGCCACCAUCCAUCCGCCUGCCACCAUCCAUCCAUCCAUUCAUCCAUUCACUCAUCAAUUUACCCAUCCGCUCAUCUCCCCAUCCAUCUGCCUAUCCAUUCUUUCAUCCUUCCACGCACCUUCCCACUCUCACCCACUCACCUAUACACUCAUCUAUUUACUAAUCCCUCUGCCCACCCAUGUGUCCAUCCAUCUAUCCUUCCAUCCACCCACUCAUCCACUUACUCAUCCACCAGGCCCCUCAUUAAUUCACCCAUCCACCCUUGCAUCCAUCUAACAAAGCCAGAUGUUGGACACGUGUUUGUGCCAGGUACAGCACUGGGGAUUUCUCUGUGCCUCAGCUUCUUCGUCUAUAAAAUAAGGGUAAUAAUGGGAUCUACCUCACAAGCUUGACCAUGGCCCAGACUAAGUGCUGUGUAAGUGUUUUCUGAUGUUAAUCUUAUUAGGCACUGGGGAAUCUAAAGGUAAAUAAAACAGAGUUGCUGCCCUAAAGGAAAUCACACACUUCCUGGGGAAAAAUGCAAGAAAACUGGCAUUAGGGUCCCUCGUGGGAUGUGCUCAUCUGUAGGGAAAUAUUAAGGGUUGCGGGACGGCCAAAGCUUGGGCGUCCUGUCUCAUUCCAGGCUCAUUUGGGAGGUAGGAGGGGACAAGAAGUAUCGUUAUUGAUCUUUGUAUAUUACAGAUGAGGAAACUGAGGCCUAGGAGAGUUAAAGGACCGCCCAAGACCACACCACCGCACAGAGACACCAGGACUGAACGCUUGUGUCUUCUGACUUGCAGCUUCCAGCAGCCUGGAUCAUGCUCUUCUUACCUCAUCUGGGUAGCAAGAGAAGGCUGCUCUAAAGCUACCUUACUCCCAGGUUGCAGGAGCAGAACCAAGACGUUCAGAUCCCUUGAGGAAGAGAAUGGCUCAGCAUGAGGGGGCCUCACCCAGAGCCCUGGGUCUGCUCUGAGCCCCUCACUUAAAGAGGGAAGCUGACCAAAUGAGGGUAGUUGAAAACAAAUCCCAGAUAUCAGGUGACUUCAUGUGGAAUGACUUCAGUAAGUACCUCUCACUAACUGGCCAUGCCAGGAUCACACCUGAGGAAAUUAACAGUAAUCCCAUGGUGAGCGUCAGCUGACACUCAGUCCCUCUUUAACUGCGCCCCGCCUCCUCCCGUAAAUAUGUAAACCCACACUGCAAGGGUGGAUGGAGGGCCAUGUGGCCGGGCGGCUUCUGUGCUUUAGCUUUGGAGCCUUAAGAGGGUGAGGGUUGAAUACCUGUGGCUUUGGGUGGGUGGUUUGCUUUAUGGGGCCUCUCUUUCUUCCUAUGCCAAAGGUACUGACCUCUCCCAAGGCGGUCAGGAGGACUGAAUGAAAUUGUAUGAGUACAGUACUGGGUACUUGGUAGGGACUCAAUGAAUGGUGGCAGUGCUUACGAUGUUUUCUAUUUUGCAUAUAAGGAAACUGAAGUUCAGAGCAGGAGAGUGACUUGCUCAAGCUCACACAGCUCAGAGUGGUUAAGCUAGGAUGGAAGCGUAGGUCUUCUAAGUGCUCUGGGAUGUGUGUUCAACACAGCCCCCUCACCCCCUCUAAUACUGGCCUUGUCUGCCACCACCCCAUACUACAAAUGGAAAUGACACAGAGGGUGACAUCAACAGGUCCCUUUUUCUCGAUAGCCACUAGAUCAUGGUGCUGUGGGCUGAGCAGAUGAUUGAUAGGACAUCACUGGGCCUGGCUCUCCAGGAGACCUAGAAAAAGAUCUUGCCCCUCUCUGGGCCUCAGUUUCCCUAUCUGUACCACAAGGGCAUUGACCUCCACGUGGUCUUCGAGACCUCUUCCAGUUCUGCUUUGUUUGCACCAGGGUUAGUAACCGUGGGAAUGGGAGAGAUGGAGAUACUUGAGGCUGAUGGGGAGUUGCACAGCCCAAGACCCCAGGCUGCAAGACAGUAUGGGGAUGAGGGCGAUCCUCCCAUAUUGGAGAUCAGGGAUGGGGUGGCCCAGCUAGGUAGAAGUGAAGCUCCCCCACCCCCACUGGAUUGUGAACCUCCUGAAAUUAGGGCUGUGACUUGUACCUUAUAAGUAUCACAUAGAUGAGAAAAAAUUUCAUCGAUGUAAUGGAUGGAACACUAGAUAGGAGAUCAGUAAGGAAAUAGAAGACUUUAAAAACACUGUAAACCAGCUAGACCUAACAGACACUGCUUUCUAACGGCGAUUGAAGAGCACAUUCCACCCAGCAACAGCAGAAUACACAUUCUUCUCAAGUGCACACGGACCAUUCUCUAGCAUAGAUCAUAUCUUAGGCCACAAAUCAAAUCUCAAUAAAUUUAGAAAAAUUGAAAUUACACAAAAUAUGUUCUCUGACAACAGAGUAAUGAAAUUAGAAGGUCAAAAACAGAAGGAAAUUUGAAAAUUCACAAAUAUGUAAAAAUUAAACGACACACUCCUAACCAAAGGGUCAAAAAAUAAAUCAUAAGGGAAAUUAGAAAAUACUUUGAGACGAAUGAAAACAAAAACACAACAUACUAAAACUUACAGGAUGCAGUAAAAGCAGUGCUCAGAGGGAAAUUUAUAGCUGUAAACACCUACCUUAAAAUAGAAGAUCUCAAAUCAAUAACCUUCCACCUUACUAAAAAAAAAAAAAGCAAACUAAAUCCAAAGCAAGCAAAUAAAAAAAUUAGAGCAGAGAUAAAUGAAACAGAGAACAGAAAAACGAUAGAGAAAAAUCAGCAAAACCAAAAGUUGGUUGUCUGAAAUGAUCUACAGAAUUGACAAACCUUUAGCUAAACUGACCGAGAAAAAAAAAAAGAGAGAGAAAACUGAAAUUACUAAAGUCAGGAAUGGAAGUGGAGACCUUGCCACUGACCUUACAGAAAUAAAAAGGAUUAUACAAUUUCACUGAUAGAUUCGAAAGAAACUCCACAACAUUUCUAGAGAUUGGAGAGAACAUCCGGAAAUGGUUACCAGUAGUUGCCUUCAGGGAAACAGGGCUGGGGUGGGUGGAGCUGGGGUGCCUGCUUUUUAUUAUAAGUCCUUAAGGGCUAUUUUUGUAAAUGCUUUGAUUGCAAAAUAUAAGACACAUACAGAAAAGUGGAUUUUUAAAAAGUACCGCUCAGUAAUUUAUCACCAAGUGAAUAUCCAUGAAACCACCACUUGGUCAAGAGGAACAUUACCACCUCCCCAGAAGCCCCUCCUGUACUCUAGCCAAUCCUCCUCCCCAAAGAAAACCACCAUUCUGACCUUUAUGGCAAAUACUCUUGCUCUCCUUGAUAGUUUUGCCAUCUCUACACACAAUAGUUGGGUUCAGUUCGUGCUUGAUAAAUCCAAUCAAGUAGCAGGUCCUCUUUUGGGUCCGGCUUCUUGCAUUUUACAUUCUGUUUGUGAGAUUCCCCAUGCUGUUGUAGGAAGCAAUCGUUGGCUCAAAUUUUCUUAGCUGUAUCAUAUUCCAUUUUAUGAGUACACCAUCAUUUAUGUGUCUGUUCAACUAUUGAUGGAAUGGGCUUUUUAAAAAGCCAUGUACCUAAAGAUAGGUUGAUUAAAAUAUUUCUGAUAAAAUGCACAUUUAAAAUGCAACUCAACACAUAUUAGUUUAAUUUCAUCCCUAGGAUCCUCAUUCCCUUUUCUGCUCCAAUAAGUCAUGAAGACAGCUUGGGUCUCAGAAGAAAAUAGGCCGUUUAAGCAGAAGCCCAGAGGGAACACAUCUGAGAGAUGCCCACACCCUCAUGGGGUCCUCUCAUCAGCCCUUCUCCCCAAAUUUUCAGCCUCAAAUGGGGGAGGUCACACAGAUGGAGAGAAACCACUCUCUCCCUUCCACCCGAGGUCUGCAGAUUCCUGACACACAUACGAGUGCACACCCAGGCAGACAGGCAAGAGCGUGGCCCCCACACAUGAGCACACACACGGGCACCUAGGCAUAUCCCAGAAGUGGCAAUGCCUGCUGGCACCUGACCAGCAGGCGAGGUCUGUGCACAGAGAAGUUGUGGAAGAAGAGGAGGGGAAAGCGUGGGGGAAAAAUCCCCUCAUUUCUGAAGAAAUGUCCCAGAUUAGAUUUGUAAAUCAAAAACCAAUAUAUAACAUGCAAGAAUUGAUCUGUUUUAUAUUCCUCAGUUACAUUUUUGUGAAGCACAUUUAGAAGAUUUAGAACGUAUUUGCGCCUGCUGGUUGGGCCAUUAUAUGCUUGAGUUCAUACAUCUAUUUGUGAGGCUAUAAAACAGGCAUCGACUACCAUGUAAAUUGUGUUCUCCACAAUAAAUUAUAUGCAUACUUGCAAAAAUACAUAACUGCCGUGCCUGGGCCAACGCGGCCAGAAUACUAAUGAGGGCGAAAGUUGCUUUGUCCCUCUUCUCCGGCCUAAUUUAGCCUCUACAUCAAAAAUUAUGUAGGAAAAAUCACUUUAUCCUCUCACUGAGAAAUAAAAUAGCACUCAUGGGUACCCUCAUCUCUUCCCACCCCCCUUCCUUUUAACCGAACACUACCAUUUUCAUACUAAUUUUAGCUGCUCCAGGUUUACGGGGAGGAAGGCUGGCUGAGCUGAAGCUGGGGUGCCAGCGGGCUGCCUGGAUGUAUGAGAAGGCUGUGGGAGUGGGCAUGUGCAUGCACACACUCACACACACACAUGCAUACACACGUAGGCACAUUCCCUCCGUGUGGUUUGAAUUCGCUUGUGCCAGGGCAUGUUCACAGCAUGCACACAGACCUACAUGUAAAUGUGAAGACUCACCCCAGACACGCAUGCACAGACACUCCACGAGCAUUUGCCCACGUGGCGCAGAUUCAUUCCCUCUCCCCGGUACAGACUCCUAUGCACAGAGACACACUGGGGAAAUUCAGUUCAGUUCGGUUCAAUUCAGUUCAAACAGGUCAGUCCAGCAAACACUGACUGAGCACCUAUUAGAUGCCAUGUGCUGUACUUGGCAUUGGGACUACGGAGAUUUUUUUUUAAAAAAGGCAGAAUCUCAGCUUAUAGCUCAGGGGAAGAGGCAGCUUUAGGAACAAAUGCAGACAAGUCAGUAUGCUGAGGGCUGUAGCAGAGACAGAGAGCAUACAGGUACACACACUCACGCCCUGGUCAUUGUCAGUGUGCAUAUUUUCCAGUACUCAUAUGUGCACACACAGAUGCACACAGAGUCCCUGCACUUACACAGGCACAUACCUCACACCACAUGGACUCACGUGUGCAUGCACAACACACACAUACACACACCGGUACACUCAAGCAUCAGCAUAGCCACCCUCCCACUGACACCGCAUGCUGGUGCCUGCCUCACCUCUGUCUUUCCUGCAAGCCCAAGUUAACUUCACGCCCUGUCUGGCUUGCCCUUUCUUGGGUUCUGUUGCUGUCUAUCCUGGAAGCAGAGCCACUUCCAACAGCAGGCUGGCUAGUGUUGCUCCCACUUCUCCCAGGGGCCUGCCCAAGGUUCCAUCUUGCUGGGAGCUUCCGCAGGCUCACAAGAGGAAGGAGAAGUAGACACAGGAAGAUCUCAUUUCCAUGACCUCAGGCCAGUCCGUGCCCUGUCCCAGGCCUCAGUUUACUCCUUUUCUUUUUCUUUUUUCCUUUCUUUUUUUUUUUUUUUUUUUUUUGAGAUGGAGUCUCACUCUGUCACCCAGGCUGGAGUGCAGUGGCGUGAUCUCUGCUCACUGCAACCUCCACCUCCCAGGUUCAAGCAAUUCUCGUGCCUCAGCCUCCCGAGUAGCUGGAACUACAGGUGUGCACCACUACAUCUAGCUGCCUUUUUUGUAUUUUUAGUAGAGACAGGGUUUCACCAUGUUUGCCAGGCUGGUCUCCAACUCCUGACCUCAGGUGAUCCGCCCGUGUUGGCCUCCCAAAAUGCUGGGAUUACAGGCGUAAGCCACCGUGCGCCCGGCCUACCCAUUUUUAAAAUGUGGGAAUUGGAUGGUCUCUGAGGCCAUCAGGCUCCAGAUGUCCACAGUUUGUGCUGAAGAAGGUGGCGCCUCAGUCCAAGUCAGAGAGUGUGAGACAACUGCAGAGACGCCCCCAACCUGGAGGCAUCUCGGCCCCGCUCCGAGCUCCCAGCCUAAGAGAAGCGUUUGACCUCAGGGGCAGGCCUCAUGAGGGCAGGAGAAGUCAUGUCCUGGAGAAAAGGAGUGGCAAGAUGUGGUAGGGGAGAGAAGACUUGGUGCAAGAGGGCCAGCUGGGAUAUUUAUAGGUGCCAGCCACGGUUCUAGGGGAAUUUCAUUCUAUCUUCAAACACCUGAAGGGCUGCCGUGGGGCAGAGGGAAAGGACUUCCUCUGCAUGACCCAGUUGGUAGAACUAGGACAGUGGGAAAGUGGUGGAGGCUGCAAGGAGACAGACAGCCUUUAGUUGAAUACAGUGAUCAGCGUGAUUUCUCCGUGCGUGCACCCGCCUACCAGCAUGCGUGGUGUACAUUCUGCUGCUGUGUAUUCCGUCUCCUUGCAGCCCUUUCUUUCCUCUGCUCCCUAUAGCUCAUCCUAUGGCUUUUCAUACCGUACUAUUUUCUCUUUAUCUCAGCUUGUUCUUGGAGUAGAAAAUAUGUUCUUUUUAAAAACGAAAAUCAGAUUUUUAUUGAGGAAAAAAUAUUAAGUUCACAUGAUGAAAAAUUCAAAUUGGUCAAAGGAUGUAUGGCGAAAAGAAGGUCUCUCUCUCUGGCUGCCCAGGCUCCUCCGGCUGCCCAGGCUCCUCCGGCUCAUCGUCAUCCAGCUUCCUUCUCCAGAAACAACCACUGUUACCAAUUGUUAUGUGUUUUUUCAGAAAUAUACUGUGCGUGCAAGCAUCUCUCUCUGUCUGUUGAUCUGUCCUUUAUUUAACACAAAUGUGAGCAUACCAUGUGCCCUGAUCCUUGCCUCCCCUCCCCUCCCCUCAUCCCAACCUAACUACGUAGCUUGGAAGGUGUUUCUGAGGAAAAGUUCUCCAUUGGGCGAUAUCUGACAAUGAAAUGGGCUAACGAGCUCUCAACACUGGGGAUGUGGAGGCACAGGCUAGAUGACCACUUGGGGAAAGAAAAAUGGGAGAGUUGGGCCCUUCCUUGGAGGAGGAAGGUUAGACUCAUGCCGUCUAAGGCCCUUUCCAUGAACCAGCUGCUUGGAUACAAAGAGAACAGCUCUCUUUAUCUUGCGUUCUUCCCAUUUUUCCCCACUCCCUCCCAGCGCCCCACAAGCUGGGCCAGGGUCACCAGUGUUUAAAGCCGCCCAGCCUUGGCUUCCAGCCCUUGUGUAAUUGACAAGAAUUCCCCCCCUCCCUAAGAGAUGGCCUCUCUCUGUGCCAGCCACAUGCCACUAAACUCCAAAUUAAGAGGCCCAGCUGAGAUUUCUGUCUUAUUCCACCCAUACUCCUGGGGCCAAUCCUCUCUCAUUUCAGGAGGGGAAUGGAACUCAGUUUGGAUUUGGGAAGGGGGGUAGAGGGGGCUCGCCACCAAAGCUGGUGCCUCUAUGCUCCAGAGAGAUGUGCGUGUCCUACCAUGCGGCUUAAGACUUCUCCAAAACACCGUCCCCCCAAAUCCAAUAAAAUUGCAAAUUUCACUGUAUUUCACAAUAUCCUAAAUAAACAUGAACAGC